CUCCCUUUAAUCCAUAGCCUGGAACAUGGAUGCCCACAUUUGGGACCUUGAAAACAGGGUACGUGCUUGGAUGGUAGGAUGGCGAGCAAAAGAGUCUGUAAAGCAUGGUUGCCAUAUCUUCCCCAUGCUAUUCACCUCUAGGUUUUGUUAGUUUACAGAGAAGCUUUUUGUUUAUGUUAUUUUAACUUUACGCUUUCAUUUAUAGUUAGGUUUUGCUCUUGUGGACAGACCUGUUACUGUAUCUCCCCCAAUCCGUAUGUCCAAGUCCUGACCCCAAGUACCUCAGAAGGGUCAUUGCAGAUAUAAUCUGUUUGGAUGAGGUCAGUAGGUGGGCCUCAAUCCACUAUGACUGGCAUCCUUAUAAAAAGAGGAAAUUUGGACCCCGGGGGAAUGCCAGAUGAAGAUUAAGGCACAGAUCAAGGCCAGCCUUCUACAAGCCAAAGAAUGCAAAGAUUUCCAGCAAAUCACCAGAAGCUAGGUAAGAGGCAUGGAACAGAUUCUCUCUCAACCCUCAGAAGAGACCUUGCUGAUACUUUGAUCUCAGACUUGCAGCCUCCAGAACUGUGAGACAAUAAAUUUCUGUUGUUCGAGCCAUCCACUUUGUGGUACCUGGUUAUGGCAGCCCUUGGCAACUAAUACCCUGUCCUAGCCAAUUCAGGUCUGGCCAGAAUAACCUUGGCUUAAUCCAGAGCAAUAUUAUUCUUUACCAUUUAGAUAUUCUUACCAUUCAGAUAAUAGAAACUCCACACAUACCCAUGUGCCCACCUGACCUUCUAUCAUAAUCUCCAUCCCCGAUCAGCAGUUUGAGCCAAUCUCCUUUAUCUGGAAAGACUAAGCAAGGAAAUCUUGUGGCUCCCCUCUGAUAGUGUGGCUCUAUCACACAGGAGUGCAUUAGCCACAUUCAAAUGUUGGUUUAUUUUAGGUCCCACAUAGAAUAUUUUCACGCCAGUGGAACUGCUGUGAACAUCUCAGCCAAAAUGUAUUCCCCAUCAUUGACUGCUCCUGGUUAUAAAUCAUCCCUCGUGCCAGAGGACACGAAAUGACAGUGGGAUAGGUAGAAAGCAUACCUUUUGUUCUUGAUGGUCGUAAGAACCACGUCCUUCCUCUUAUUGUGAAUUGCAACAUGCAAAAAGGAGGCCUGCUGCUUGUUCAGGAUGAUGUCAGCAUCAUAACUCAAAAGAAGUGCGACGGCUUUGGCAUGGCCUUCCCUUGCAGCCAAGUGCAGUGCAGUGUUCUUUCAGAGAGAACAGGACACAGAAAAUCCAGUGACAAUGGCUAGUCAUCCUUUGGCUAUCGUACUGCUUUCAUCUUUGAACUGCUUAAAAUAAAUUAUUGACAAACCCAA